CAGCCUAGGUCAGGCGAGGCUAUCCGUUGAGUUUAAGCAUAUCAAUAAGCAGAGGAAAAGAAACUUACAAGGAUUCCCCUAGUAAUAGCAAGCGAACCGAGAACAGCCCAGGUUGAGAAUCAAGCGCCCUAGCAUCCAAAUUGUAGUCUGAAGAAGUGUCCUCAGUGGCGGACCAAGCCCAAGUCCCCUGGAAAAGGGCACCGGAAAGGGUGAGAGCCCCGUCAUACCCGGACCCUGUUGCACUAUAAGGCACUGUGGAUGAGUCGGGUUGUUUGGGAAUGCAAACCAAAUCGGGUCGAAAUUCUGUCCAAGGCUAAAUAGCAGCGAAAGACCGAUAGCAAGCAAGUACCGCAAGGGAAAAAUGAAAAGGACUUUGAAAAGAGAGUCAAAGAGUGCUUGAAUUGUCGGGAGGGAAGCAGAUGAGGGCUGACGAUGCACCUCGGUCGGAUGUGGAACGAUGAGAGCCAGUCUGCCAAUCGACUCGGGGUGUGGACCGAAGCGGAUUGAGGAGGGUAGCCCAAGCCCGGGCUAUCGAUAUGCCCGUGGAGACAUCGUCCCCCCAAUCGUGGAAUCCAGCACGUGUCGUCCCAGCAUGCUUCGGCAUCUACGUGCUCUGGGCAUCAGCCUGUGGGCUCCCUAUCCGUCCCGUCUUGAAACAGAGACCAAGGAUUCUGGCAUGUGUGUGAGUAAACAGGUUAGUAAACCCAUAAGACGCAAGGAAGGUGACUGGUAGGAUCCCCUCGUGGGUUGCACCGCCAACCGACCUCGAUCUUUUAAGAAGAGUUCGAGUGAGAGCGUGCCUGUUGGGACCUGAAAGAUAGUGAACUAUGCCUGAGCGGGGCGAACCCAGAGGAAACUCUGUUGGAGGCCCGCAGCGAUACUGACAUGCAAAUCGUUCGUCUAAUUUGGGUAUAAGGCCGAAAGACUAAUCGAACCAUCUAAUAGCUGGUUCACUUCAAAGUUUCCCUCAGGAUAGCUGGAGCCCGCAGACGAGUUCUAUUAGGUAAUACCAAUAGUUAGAGGCAUUGAGGAUGCAAUCCCCUCGACCUAUUCUCAAACUUUAAAUAGGUAGGACGGUGCGGCUGCUUUGUUGAACCAUGGCACAAAAUCGAGAGCUCCAAGUGGGCUAUUUUUAGUAAGCAAUACUGGCGAUGUGAAGCCAGAUUACAGUGCCCAACUGCGUACUAACCUAGAACCCACAAAGGGUGUUAGUCGAUUAAGAUAGUAAGACGAUGGUCAUUGAAAUCAAAAUCUGCUAAGGAGUGUGUAACAACUCACCUGCCAAAUCAACUAGCCCCGAAAAUGGAUGGCGCUUAAGCACGUGACCUACACCCGGCCAUCGGGGCAAGUGUCAGAUCCCGAUUAGUAGAAGGGCACGAGCUCAGGCACGAAUGGUUGUCGGUGCAGAUCUUAGUGAUAGUAGCAAAUAUUCAAAUGAGAACUGUGAAGGCCGAAGAGGGGGAAAGGUUCCAUGUGAAUGGCACUUGCACAUGGGUUAGUCAAUCAUAAGAGAUGGGGGAAGCCCAUCUGAUAGCAUUACUAGCGCGAGCUUCAAAAGGGAAUCAGGUUAAAAUUCCUGAACUGGAACGCGGUAUCUGACAGCAAUGUUAAGGAGUCUAGAGACAUCGGUGGGAGACUUGGGAAGAGUUAUCUUUUCUGUAUAGCAGCCUGUCUACCUUGGAAACGGCUCAGCCAGAUAUAGGGUCCAGCUGCUGGAAGAGCACCACACGUCGAGUGGUGUCUAGUACAUCCCGGUGGCCCUUGAAAAUCCAGAAGACCGAGUGCCUCCCACACCCGGUCGUACUCAUUACUGCAUUAGGUCUGCAAGGUGAAUAGCCUCUGGUCGAUGGAACAAUGUAGGCAAGGGAAGUCGGCAAAAUGGAUCCGUAACUUUGGGAAAAGGAUUGGCUCUAAGAGCUGGGCAUAGGGGUCCCAGUCUCAAACCCGUCGGCUGUCGACGGACUACUCGAGCUGCUCUUGUGAUGAGAGCGAGUCGCCGCGUGCUGGCUAGGGGACAGAUUGGGAACAGCUCCUCUGGGGGCCUUCCCCGGGUAUCAAACAGUCGACUCAGAACUGGUACAAAUAAGGGGAAUCCGGUUGUUUAAUUAAAACAAAGCAUUACGAUGGUCCAUACAGAUGCUCACGCAAUGUGAUUUCUAUCCAGUGCUCUGAAUGUCAAAGUGAAGAAAUUCAACCAAGCGCGGGUAAACGGCGGGAGUAACUAUGACUCUCUUAAGGUAGCAAAAUGCCUUGUUAUCUAUUUAGUGACACACAUGAAUGGAUUAACGAGAUUCCUACUAUCCCUGUCUACUAUCCAGUGAAGCCACAACCAAGGGAAUGGGCUUGGCAGAAUCAGCGGCGAAAGAAGACCCUGUUAAGCUUGACUAUAGUCCAACUUUGUGAAAUGACUUGAAAGGUGUAGUAUAAGUGAGAGCCAAAAACGGCGAAAGUGAAAUACCACUACUUGUAACGUUAUUUUACUUAUUCUGUGAAUCGGAGGCGAGGCACUGCCCCUCUUUUUGGACCCAAGGCUUGCUUCGGCGGGCCGAUCCAGGCGGAAGAUAUUAUCAGGUGGGGAGUUUGGCUAGGGUAGCACAUCUGUUAAAAGAUAACACAGGUGUCCUAAGAUGAGCUCAACGAGAACAGAAAUCUCGUGUGAAACAAAAUGGUAAAAGCUCGUUUGAUUAGGGUUUAGUGUUGGAAAUAGGAGAUUUUUUAAGGCUAGAAAUUGGAAAU
rnacentral:rRNA from 1 species